UACGUAGGGGGCAAGCGUUGUCCGGAAUCAUUGGGCGUAAAGAGCGUGUAGGCGGCUCGGUAAGUCUGCUGUGAAAGUCCAGGGCUCAACCCUGGAAUGCCGGUGGAAACUGUCGAGCUAGAGUCCGGAAGAGGCGAGUGGAAUUCCUGGUGUAGCGGUGAAAUGCGCAGAUAUCAGGAGGAACACCAAUGGCGAAGGCAGCUCGCUGGGACGGUACUGACGCUGAGACGCGAAAGCGUGGGGAGCAAACAGG
rnacentral:rRNA from 1 species